GGCAUGUUUGCUUGUGGAUGAAAUUCCAUGGAGUAGCUUGACGAGACACGAGCCAUGUAUGUAACAUGGACAUAAGCAAGGCCGUGGAAAUUAACAAGGGUACCCCGUGUAGCCCUCUAGCACUUAGACCUCUUCAGCUCUUAUGACAUGGCUUGGCCAUGUAAAUCUGGAUGGAACAUGGCUGGCCCAUGUUUUUCUCUACACUUUUUCUCUUCAAAACUUCUUUUUACAUAAUAUAACAUGGCUAGGCCAUGCAAACUUCUCUCAUAACAUGGCUGGGCCAUGUGAUUUGUGGGACUGCAACCAAAUGGUCCAUUAAUAUAUAAUAUUAUUAAAAUGUUUUUUUUUAUUGCAAUCUAGUGGUUUUGACUAUUUUGGUUACUUUAUUAUUUAUUUCUUGAGAUUUGCCAAAACAUAUAUCUACGUUGGUCACUAAAUAUUUAAAAUCGCAUUAUUAAAUUCUUGAGUUUUAUUUUUGCUAAUAACUUGGUCAUUCUUCCUAAAUUCCCCUAAUUUAUCAUCAGUAAAAGGAAAAAAAA
rnacentral:misc_RNA from 1 species